rnacentral:rRNA from 1 species
GAUGAACGCUAGCGGCAGGCCUAACACAUGCAAGUCGAGGGAGGAGCUUUCGGGCUUCAACCGGCGUACGGGUGCGUAACGCGUAUACAAUCUGCCUUUCACAUAGGGAUAGCCCGAAGAAAUUUGGAUUAAUACCUAAUGGUAUAUAGGAGUGGCAUCACAUUUAUAUUAAAGCUGAGGCGGUGAAAGAUGAGUAUGCGUUCUAUUAGCUAGUUGGAGAGGUAACGGCUCCCCAAGGCGACGAUAGAUAGGGGUUCUGAGAGGGAUAUCCCCCACACUGGUACUGAGAUACGGACCAGACUCCUACGGGAGGCAGCAGUGAGGAAUAUUGGACAAUGGUCGGAAGACUGAUCCAGCCAUGCCGCGUGCAGGAAGACGGCCUUAUGGGUUGUAAACUGCUUUUGCAGGGGAAGAAUAAGGACUACGAGUAGUUUGAUGACGGUACUCUGCGAAUAAGCAUCGGCUAACUCCGUG